AUGGUUUGGACAUACAUAUAAUGCUCACGGGAAGGCCGAAGAGGGCUAUUGGCAAGAACACCACCCCUAAACAAAAGGUGCAUCCGGAUUCAGAGGAAGCAAAGAAGAAAACUUGACCUGCGGAAGCAAGAUGCGGGAAGGAGAGAGCGCAGUGGCGAAGCUUCAACGAAAACUUAGUGGGGGUGAAGUCUCAAAAUCUAAAUCGGUGGGGUCUAGACUCUUAAAAAUCCAAUAUUUCACACUAAAAAAAGAAUUCAGAAAUUUUCCAUAAAAUUUACACCACGAGCCAACAAGCGGUGGGGACCGGAGCACCCGCCGGCCUCAAUAAAGCUUCACCAAUGGGAGAGCGGAAACACCGGCCCGGCUGGUUCACGACCUGAUGUGGGAAGUGGGGACGCGGGAUGCAUCCCGUGUGGCCAUACUUGUCACUUGCAAAUGAUAGAUAUGUCAUAAGUUUGACGUUUUCAAUAAAUAUUUGAUUAGUUGUUAUAUUUCUAUGGUUUAUAAAUAUUUGAUUAGUUGUUAUAUUUUUAUGGUUUAAGUUUGUAGCACACUUAAAUAUUGGAAUCAUUUAUUAGCUUCAGUAAUUAUAUUUAGUAUAUAAACUUUGUCAUAAGU
rnacentral:lncRNA from 1 species